GUCACCAUAGGUCAUGAGAAAGCAGUACCAGCAAAGAUAAAAGCAAAUGAGCAGUGACUUUGAAGUGGUAGUUUGGGGGCUGAGACUAUUCUGAUUAUGCUCUUUGGUAAGCUUUGAAAUAUGAGUACUAAAACACCAAACACAGCAAAGAGAGACAGAGAUCCUGAAGGGAUCUGGGAGAAGAAUUGCGGGUCAGAGUUUGUACUCGAGUUGAUGAGCAGAUUGGACUGUAGGAGGUUCAGUUC